rnacentral:lncRNA from 1 species
UUUAGUAUUUAGAUUUAUUUUAAAAUUUUAUGAAAGACCAUUAUAAAAUAAACGUACAUUGUCAAUAUAAAACAUUUUAUCACACCCAGCGAUCUACACUGGAGAACAAGUCAAACUCACUUGUAGCAUUCAAGAGAAGACUUCAAAAUGGCAAUAUUUUUGGCAAAAAGAUUCACAGCAAGUAAACACUGACAACAAUCCCAUUUACACUAUUCAAAAUGCUACAUGCUCUCAACAAGGGAAUUACACUUGUCAAGUAAGAAGGGGAGAGAUGACAUAUACAAAGUCUACAAUAUUGACAAUAAGAGAGCCACCUAAAUUAAAUCUGUCAAUAGAGUCUCAAUGGCAUAUGUUUUACCAAACUGAGAAAGUGACUCUGAAGUGUUCAGUUGAUGAAGAGUCAAAUAAAUGGGGCUAUGAAUGGUUUAAAAAUGGAGGUUUGCUUAAAGAGGAUAAGGACAUUUCCUUUUCUGGAAACACACUUUCGUUAUGCUGUUUAUCUGUGCAGAGCCACCUAAAUUAAAUCUGUCAAUAGAGUCUCAAUGGCAUAUGUUUUACCAAACUGAGAAAGUGACUCUGAAGUGUUCAGUUGAAUGAAGAGUCAAAUAAAUGGGGCUAUGAAUGGUUUAAAAAUGGAGGUUUGCUUAAAGAGGAUAAGGACAUUUCCUUUUCUGGAAACACACUUUCCAUCAGCUCAGCAAAAGCGGGUCAUUCAGGACAGUAUACCUGCAGAGGAAAACAUCUGACGAGAACAUCAGUGACUACAAGAGAAACUGAAGCUGUGCAACUUCAUAUUCAGGACAAGAAACCAAAACCAACCAUCACAAAACAUGAGUGGUUUGAAUUCUUCUACACUGAGGAGCGAGUCCAGCUUAAAUGUAACAUGACAGGAGUAGGUUGGGAAUACAAGUGGUAUAAAGACUUAAACUUUCGGAUCACAAAUCCAGAAUUGACCAUCAACGCAGUAUCUCUGACUGACGCUGGUGACUAUUACUGCAAAGCACAGCGAGGAAACUUCUCAGUGGACAGUGAGACUCUACAAGUGCGAGUUCAGAGUGAGUUAGACCCUUCUGUCCAUAUAAAGUACCUUUGCGACCAUCUCAUUAUAACAAAUCAACAAAUUUAAAAUGAUUAGUUAACAUGUUAAAUGGACAGUUUCACCCAAAAUAACAUGACAAUUCUGUCAUCAUUUCACACUCAUGUCAUGUUGUUUUUUCGAUAUGUAUGACUUUCCUCUUAUGUGGAACACAAAAUAUAUUUUGAUAUUAAUUAAAAAAUGCACUAAUUUCUGUCCAUUCUGAAGUCAUUGGGGUCUAAUGUUGUUUUGUACGCCGUUGACUUUCAGAAUGUCUUCAUUAAAGGUAGGGUAGGCGAUUUCGGAAGGCUAGCAAUAGCAAGCUAGCUUUGAAAGCAUAAGAUCCCACCCUUUCUGCAAAUCACUUUCCAAAGCCAUGACUCCUCCAAAACACAUGAACGCUCACAGGCAGUGAAAUGUAACGCUGUCAGUUUACCUCAUGUCUUAUUCACCGGUGAGAAAUUAUUACAGUACAAAGCACAGAAUAUUAAAAAUAAUAAUGCCUUCCAUUUUUGAUAGGUCUGCUCUUGAUUUAUGCUCCUAUGCCUUCCACAGACAAUAUAAAUACAUAUAAAAAUUUAGAAGCAACUUAGUAACUUAGUGAUUGUAAAAACAAUUAUUGAAAUAGCCUGCUAAAUGCAAAAGAACAGCGAAACUUUGUUAACAACCAGAGUAUAGGCUAGGCAAUUUUCAGACACUCUGAAUUAUUUCGCACACAUAUGAAGUGCAAGAGGCAAAAUCAGAAUUUUAACGAUAAAGUUGAUAGAACUGAAAGUUCUAAAAAAAAAAAAAAAAAAAAAAAAGUCAUAGCGUAAGCUAACAUUGACCUCCAUUUGUUCUCGAAUUGACACCCCGUCAAGCGUCAAAGGAGCCAAAGAGGCCAAAGAGGCAAAAUACGC